UACGGAGGGGGCUAGCGUUGUUCGGAAUUACUGGGCGUAAAGCGCACGUAGGCGGCUUUGUAAGUUAGAGGUGAAAGCCCAGGGCUCAACCCUGGAAUUGCCUUUAAGACUGCAUCGCUAGAAUUGUGGAGAGGUAAGUGGAAUUCCGAGUGUAGAGGUGAAAUUCGUAGAUAUUCGGAAGAAACACCAGUGGCGAAGGCGACUUACUGGACACAUAUUGACGCUGAGGUGGCGAAAGCG
rnacentral:rRNA from 1 species